UUGCUGGCUCAGUACAAGGAUGGCCCAGGGAUGGAUACAGGGCGGCAACAAGCCUAUCGACUAACUGCUUAGUACCGGUAAGAUGACCCAUAUCCACCGAGACCUGAAGACGAAUAUCCACCCCCAUCCAUGCUAGAAUACGAUGGCAAUGACGACGACGGAUAGGUCGAGCUGCCAUACUGUGAAUAGCUUGGCCUAUAUACUGGAUCUAAUCCUGCAUAGCUGCUCCUGACAGAAUCCCUAUUAUAUAUAUGCCAUGGUAUUACCUGGAUGAGUUGAUAGGCAGCUUGUACUUGUGAUGAUGUCCCCUUCAUUUCAACAGUAAUAUCGUCAGGGCUCCCCAAACUCUCUUGAAUUGUGACGACUGCACCACUGUUAGCUCGUAUGUAUGCAAUAUUUGCUCCUUUCACUCCAAUUAUGUCUUCAGCGUAGGUAAGGGGAAUUUGCAUUGUUUGAGUUAUCUGCGUGCCACGUGUCCACCACCAUGUAUUCCAGAGGUUCGUAAUGUUGACAAGGCAGGAUCCCGCCCAUAAAGCGAAACACCUGAGCGAUGAAUAUUGUGGUCUAUCAAUGGUUCCCGUUCGAGAAACAGAGGGUCUCUCUUCAUUGGAAGAAUAUAUUCAUCAACCACAGGAGGUGGUUGGUUUAUUUGUGCAGAAACAAUUGAAGGAUGUGAUAUAUCAGUCCAAGCAUCAGUGCUGCGAUCUUGAAUAAAUGUGCUUACAGUCUUCUCAAACAAUGGAAGUACACUAUGGUCAACCAAAAACUUCCGGAGAUGAUUAGAAACUGCUUGAAGUGCUUUUAGGACUUUCUCUGUUUCCCCCUGGAUCUCAACUAUCCUUUCAUCUUCAAUUACAUAGAAAGAGUACAUUACCUAUUGAUAUAACCCGUAUUGUAGCACCAGUGCCCUCUUGGAUGGCCUUAAUUGAAGCACCUUGCUUCCCAAUUAGGUUAAUUGCCUGAGCUCCAGGAACCAACAAACGGGCAGCACAUACACCAGGUGCAGUAGCUGCCUGUGUGCCCUCAGCAGCUCCAUCUGUUAUACCACUGACACGCUUAAAAACUCUCAUGAGAGCAUCCAUAGCUGGAGGAAGCUCCAAGGCUGGGUCUUCUUUCCCAGACACAAGAACCUAUAACCAAGAGGCG
rnacentral:sRNA from 1 species